rnacentral:rRNA from 1 species
CNACCUGCCCGCCACUUGGGGAUAACCUUGCGAGAGUAGGACUAAUACCCAAUGACGUCUCUANANNNCAUCUGAAAGAGAUUAAAGAUUUAUCGGUGAUGGAUGGGGAUGCGUCUGAUUAGCUCGUUGGCGGGGUAACGGCCCACCAAGGCAACGAUCAGUAGGGGUUCUGAGAGGAAGGUCCCCCACAUUGGAACUGAGACACGGUCCGAACUCCUACGGGAGGCAGCAGUGAGGAAUAUUGGUCAAUGGGCGAGAGCCUGAACCAGCCAAGUAGCGCGCAGGAUGACGGCCCUAUGGGUUGUAAACUGCUUUUAUAAGGGAAUAAAGUGAGUCUCGUGAGACUUUUUGCAUGUACCUUAUGAAUAAGGACCGGCUAAUUCCGUGCCAGCAGCCGCGGUAAUACGGAAGGUCCGGGCGUUAUCCGGAUUUAUUGGGUUUAAAGGGAGCGUAGGCCGGAGAUUAAGCGUGUUGUGAAAUGUAGACGCUCAACGUCUGCACUGCAGCGCGAACUGGUUUCCUUGAGUACGCACAAAGUGGGCGGAAUUCGUGGUGUAGCGGUGAAAUGCUUAGAUAUCACGAAGAACUCCGAUUG